AGGGUUUGAUCCUGGCUCAGAACGAACGCUGGCGGCAGGCCUAACACAUGCAAGUCGAGCGCGCCCUUCGGGGUGAGCGGCGGACGGGUUAGUAACGCGUGGGAACGUGCCCUUCUCUAAGGAAUAGCCACAGGAAACGGUGAGUAAUACCUUAUACGCCCUUCGGGGGAAAGAUUUAUCGGAGAAGGAUCGGCCCGCGUUAGAUUAGAUAGUUGGUGGGGUAAUGGCCUACCAAGUCUACGAUCUAUAGCUGGUUUUAGAGGAUGAUCAGCAACACUGGGACUGAGACACGGCCCAGACUCCUACGGGAGGCAGCAGUGGGGAAUCUUGGACAAUGGGCGCAAGCCUGAUCCAGCCAUGCCGCGUGAGUGAUGAAGGCCCUAGGGUCGUAAAGCUCUUUCGCCAGAGAUGAUAAUGACAGUAUCUGGUAAAGAAACCCCGGCUAACUCCGUGCCAGCAGCCGCGGUAAUACGGAGGGGGUUAGCGUUGUUCGGAAUUACUGGGCGUAAAGCGCGCGUAGGCGGAUUGGAAAGUUGGGGGUGAAAUCCCGGGGCUCAACCCCGGAACGGCCUCCAAAACUCCCAGUCUUGAGUUCGAGAGAGGUGAGUGGAAUUCCGAGUGUAGAGGUGAAAUUCGUAGAUAUUCGGAGGAACACCAGUGGCGAAGCGGCUCACUGGCUCGAUACUGACGCUGAGUGCGAAAGUGUGGGGAGCAAACAGGAUUAGAUACCCUGGUAGUCCACACCGUAAACGAUGAAUGCCAGACGUCAGCAAGCAUGCUUGUUGGUGUCACCACCUAACCGGAUUAAGCAUUCCGCCUGGGGGAGUACGGCCGCAAGUUAAACUCAAAGUAAUUGACGGGGGCCCGCACAAGCGGUGGAGCAUGUGAUUAAUCGAGCACGCGCAGAACUACACCCUGACAUCCCGGGACCGCCAGAAAAGAUCUGGUUUUCACUUCGUGACCUGUGACAAGAGCUGCAAUGCUGCCGUCAGCUCCUGUUUGGAAAUGUUCCGUUAGUCCGCACCGACGCCAACUCCAUUCUAUGCCGCAAUUCGCUUGGACACACUCAAGAACUGCUGGUAGCGAGAAAGAUUAGCCUACUCCUGGUCUCAUCAUAAUG
rnacentral:rRNA from 1 species